AACGAACGCUGGCGGCGUGCCUAACACAUGCAAGUCGUGCGGGAAAGUGGGGGUAACUCCACAAGUACAGCGGCGCACGGGUGAGUAACACGUAGGUAACCUACCUCCGAGACUGGGAUAACCUGUCGAAAGACGGGCUAAUACCUGAUAAGACCACCGCGGCCGCGGCCUUGGUGGUAAAAGGUGGCCUCUUCAUUAGAAAGCUACCACUCGAAGAUGGGCCUGCGUACCAUUAGCUUGUUGGCGGGGUAACGGCCCACCAAGGCAAAGAUGGUUAGCUGGUCUGAGAGGAUGGCCAGCCACACUGGGACUGAGACACGGCCCAGACUCCUACGGGAGGCAGCAGUGGGGAAUAUUGCGCAAUGGGCGAAAGCCUGACGCAGCGACGCCGCGUGGGUGAUGAAGGCCUUCGGGUCGUAAAGCCCUGUCGGGAGGGACGAAACCUCGGCGACCUAAUACGUCGUCGACCUGACGGUACCUCCGAAGGAAGCACCGGCUAACUCCGUGCCAGCCGCCGCAGUAAAAC
rnacentral:rRNA from 1 species